rnacentral:rRNA from 1 species
CAGUCGCCGCGGGAACACGGAGGGCGCGAGCGUUACCCGGAUUUACUGGGCGUAAAGGGCGUGUAGGCGGCCUGGGGCGUCCCAUGUGAAAGGCCACGGCUCAACCGUGGAGGAGCGUGGGAUACGCUCAGGCUAGAGGGUGGGAGAGGGUGGUGGAAUUCCCGGAAUAGCGGUGAAAUGCGCAGAUACCGGGAGGAACGCCGAUGGCGAAGGCAGCCACCUGGUCCACUUCUGACGCUGAGGCGCGAAAGCGUGGGGAGCAAACCGGAUUAGAUACCCCCGUAGUCCCUGUCUCUUAUAC